CAAUAGCGUAUAUUAAAGUUGUUGCAGUUAAAAAGCUCGUAGUUGGAUUUCUGGUGGGAGCGUUGGGUCGGCCCUAAGGGCUCGUACUCAAAUGUUUUCCGCCAUCCUUGGAGGGAUGUUGUCUGGCAUUAAGUUGUCGGGCUUCCGAUCUCCAUCGUUUACUGUGAAAAAUUAGAGUGUUCAAAGCAGACCUGUUUGUGUCUGAAUAUUCGUGCAUGGAAUAAUGAAAUAUGAAUUCGGUUCUAUUUUGUUGGUUUUCGGAACUCGAGUUAAUGAUUAAGAGGGACAGACGGGGGUAUUAGUACUCUGCCGUUAGAGGUGAAAUUCUUGGAUCGGCGGAAGACUCGCAACUGCGAAAGCAUUUGCCAAGAAUGUUUUCUUUAAUCAAGAACGAUAGUCGGAGGUUCGAAGACGAUUAGAUACCAU
rnacentral:rRNA from 1 species